UACGUAGGGUGCGAGCGUUGUCCGGAAUUACUGGGCGUAAAGAGCUCGUAGGCGGUUUGUCGCGUCGUCCGUGAAAACUUGGGGCUCAACCCCAAGCUUGCGGGCGAUACGGGCAGACUUGAGUACUGCAGGGGAGACUGGAAUUCCUGGUGUAGCGGUGAAAUGCGCGAUAUCAGGAGGAACACCCGAUGGCGAAGGCAGGUCUCUGGGCCCACUACUGACGCUGAGAAGCGAAAGCAUGGGGAGCGAACAGG
rnacentral:rRNA from 1 species